rnacentral:rRNA from 1 species
UACAGAGGUCUCAAGCGUUGUUCGGAUUCAUUGGGCGUAAAGGGUGCGUAGGCGGCGCGGUAAGUCGGGUGUGAAAUCUCGGAGCUUAACUCCGAAACUGCAUUCGAUACUGCCGUGCUUGAGGACUGGAGAGGAGACUGGGAUUUACGGUGUAGCGGUGAAAUGCGUAGAUAUCGUAAGGAAGACCAGUGGCGAAGGCGGGUC